rnacentral:rRNA from 1 species
UACGUAGGCAGCGAGCGUUGUUCGGAGUUAUUGGGCGUAAAGGGCGCGUAGGCGGUGCGGUAAGUCACCUGUGAAAUCUCCUGGCUCAACUGGGAGCUUGCAGGCGAAACUGCCGUGCUGGAGUGUGGGAGAGGUGCGUGGAAUUCCUGGUGUAGCGGUGAAAUGCGUAGAUAUCAGGAGGAACACCUGUGGCGAAAGCGGCGCACUGGACCACAACUGACGCUGAGGCGCGAAAGCUAGGGGAGCAAACAGG